rnacentral:rRNA from 1 species
CUAGUUGGUAGGGUAAAAGCCUACCAAGGCAUCGAUCAGUAGCUGGUCUGAGAGGACGACCAGCCACACUGGAACUGAGACACGGUCCAGACUCCUACGGGAGGCAGCAGUGGGGAAUUUUGGACAAUGGGCGCAAGCCUGAUCCAGCAAUGCCGCGUGAGUGAAGAAGGCCUUCGGGUUGUAAAGCUCUUUUGUCAGGGAAGAAACGGUGGAGGCUAAUAUCCUUUGCUAAUGACGGUACCUGAAGAAUAAGCACCGGCUAACUACGUGCCAGCAGCCGCGGUAAUACGUAGGGUGCAAGCGUUAAUCGGAAUUACUGGGCGUAAAGCGUGCGCAGGCGGUUUUGUAAGUUUGUCGUGAAAUCCCCGGGCUCAACCUGGGAAUGGCGAUGAAGACUGCAAGGCUAGAAUCUGGCAGAGGGGGGUAGAAUUCCACGUGUAGCAGUGAAAUGCGUAGAGAUGUGGAGGAACACCGAUGGCGAAGGCAGCCCCCUGGGUCAAGAUUGACGCUCAUGCACGAAAGCGUGGGGAGCAAACAGGAUUAGAUACCCUGGUAGUCCACGCCCUAAACGAUGUCUACUAGUUGUCGGGUUUUAAUUAACUUGGUAACGCAGCUAACGCGUGAAGUAGACCGCCUGGGGAGUACGGUCGCAAGAUUAAAACUCAAAGGAAUUGACG